rnacentral:lncRNA from 1 species
AUACCCCAAAUUAAAACCGAUAAAAUGCGUUUAUCCCCAAAAACCUUCCUCUCAAUCGUAUUCCUCUCUAUCGUAUUCCUCUCUUGCACUCUCCGAACUUGGUUUAAUCGGUUUUUAUAUAGAAGUUUUGUUGAUUUUGUGGGUCUGGCGAAAUCUUUGGUAUCGUGAAGUGGGUGGCUAAAUUUUGAGGCAUCUGAGCAAAUUUCCUCAAAAUAGAUUCUCUCCCUGAUUCCCUAAAUUCAACAGCGGUGAUUUUAGCCAUGUAAGUUAUUUUGAUGCCUUUUUAACUCUUUUCAAUCUAUCCAUGGAGGUUGUCGACUUGCUCUAGGGCUUGUGUAUUUAUAUUUAUAUCGAUUUGUUGUAGGAUUGCUCUAGGGCUGUGAAUCUGAUUUUUUUCUUAAUUUUUUGUUUUUUCUAUUAUAUUUUUGGUGCCAAACCAGUAAUUUUUUGGUGAAAUAGUGUUUUCUCUCAUCUAUACCAUAUUUCGCCCUGCGAAAAGAAACAAAAAUAGUUAAUUACAUGAUAUAUUCCUGUUUUUACCUUAAUUUUUAUCUGGUAUAACUUUGUUGUGUCAAGGAAUAUACUUAGUUUGCCAUCAUAUCGUACUUCUCGAAUCUAAACAUUGUAGCAUGUAAGUCAAUUCAAAAGUAGCUGGAGUCGGGUUCAAUUAUUUAUUUACAUAUUUGUGUCUAAAUUUAGUACACAUUUAGAACAGAUGUUUUAGUAAAUGAGCACACAUCUGAACCAGAUAGAAUCAUAUUUUAGUAAUAAAAUCUUGCAAGAUCCAGAGUAUACAGAAUUCCAAUUGAUCUUUAUUUUCGCACAAACCAUUAUGAUAUGUGUAAUUGAAGGAUGAUUUUUGUUCGCAAACUUGAAAACAAGUGCCAUACUGUACAGGUUGCCAGGAUAACUUUCACCUAGCGAAUGACUCUGCUUGUGGUUAGUUAUUCCAGUUUUUCAAUGUAUGGCUGGCUUCCUGUCUUAUGGUGUGACAUGCAUGAAAAAAGGAGUUAACUAAAGAUGCAAGUGUGAUCAACCAAUGUAACAAUAUCUUGGAUGAACUUUGCAGGGAGAGUCUUGAUCUACUGUGGUGCAUCUGAUUUGUAGUAUUCACGUUUUCAAUGAUUCUUUUCAUAUCCAUCCAUGAAAAGUGGGAUUGGCCACCUGAAAAAUAAGACAAAUUAAUUGCUAGAACAGGUUUGAGGAGGGUGGUGUACGCAGACUACCUUACCCCGAGGGAAUAGAGGGAUUGUUUCCAAUAGACUCGGCUCAAGAACAAAGUAUGUUGAUAGGGUAAAAAAGAAUAAGUAGCAUUAAUUGCUUUCUUGGUAGAUAGAGACUAUAGGAAGCGUGACUGCUUGUACCCUGCCGUCUAAAUUUGAACAUUUACAGGUCUAGUAAAACUGGCAAAAAGGAACUGCACCCACUCUACCAAGAUAAACAUAUACGCUAUUCACAUGUUUGAAAUACGCUAUUCAGUGAUUUGUUUUAAAAGCUUUUUAAGUCAAAAUGUUUCAGUGAAUAUAGAGUAAAAUUACCAAUUGUGAAUGGAUUGCUUAAGAGGAUGACACAGAUAGUUCAACUGCCUUUGACCUUGGAUUCUGAUAGCUUCCAAUAGUACAUAAGUUCCAUAAAUUGUUGACAUGAAUAUUUCAACAUCUUUAUCAGCAUAAACUCCUUUGAGUAUAAUAAGUUUGUUUUUGUAUCUAAGGCAAAAUUAUUUCUUGUUCUCUUUGCUCGAAUGCUCCGUCUAUGAUAAUUUAUAUUUUUAAUUUUUGCAUGCUCCUCCUCCUUAAACUCCUUUGAGUAUAAUUAGUUUGUUUUUGUGUCUAAGGCAAAAUUAUUUCUUGUUCUCUUUGCUCGAUUGCUCUCCAAGUAAUCCUUAUCUGAUGUCAAUUUUUAUUUUUUAUUUUUGCAUGCUCCUCCUUGUUAAACAAUAGAACCUUCAUUGGUUGUAUAGAUACUAUUAGCUGAGAGAAAGUCUAUUUCUGGUAGCCGAUGAGAAAUCAUUGCUGGUAGUUUAGGGAAUACUAGUUGCUGGUAUGUUUUUUUAAUUUAUAUUUUUGGUAAUUGAAUUUGCUCGUAGUGUAUUUGUCUAUUUCUCCUAUUUAUAUUGUUAUGUAUGUUACUCUGAAUUAGUUUUUAUUGCUAUCUUAGGGUUUAACUAAUGAUGCCUUGAGUUAAGUUACAACAUGUUGUUCAAGUCUAAGUUUUUUAAAACUGAAUGCAUGUGUUGGGUACGACCCUAAAUUAAAGUACUACAAAUGACAGAAUAGGCAAGCAUUGUUAUUUAAUAUUGUUCCGUAACUUUAUAGUUGCAGGACUACAAAAAAGUCAACCUAUUUUUUAGAGUUACCCAACUAGCUAGAUAUUUAUUAUGUCAGCAUGUAUAAAAAUCAUAAAAAUUAUACAAAUGCACUAUGUUAAAGUUGAUUAUGUUUGUUAAAAUUAAAGAUAAAUAUCCCACUUCUCUUCAAUUGCUCCUCCUUCUGAGUUUUCACUCUUAAAAGAAUUAGUCAAUAUCUUAUUAUAUGUAGGUUUAUUUGGUUAAUUUUAUUAAUUUAACUUUAUCGUAUAG